rnacentral:rRNA from 1 species
CCCUCCCCUCGACUUCAUACCGCCGACGGCUCCUCUCCACUUGGCUUGACGCCACGAUCAGCAGAUGAUGGGGAAAGGAUCAAGCUGAAAUUGCAGUGGCUGAGGUAUUGGCUCUCUGUUGGGGAAAAACGUUCAAAUGAUAUGCACCUUAUGACUGGGAGCUUCUUGAAUCUGGAGGGCAUCACCCCUGUUGAUGAUUCCAGAUAUAAUGCAGAGGAAAGCGACACACGUGCUGAUGUGGUGCCUGAGAUUGCUGAUGUUUGCUCCAAUGCUCCUGAACGAGAUGAUCCACCUGCAGGCCUUAUUAUCAGCAGGUCUUCUGGACCGGGUGCACUUUUGCAUCUUGGAAGGAAAAGAUCAUCAUGUACCUCAGUUGAACAUACAUGUUCUAGGCGCCUUAGUAGCAACAGUCAGAUGCCAGAUUUCACAGUUGUCCAAGGCAACAACCUCUCACUCCUUGGUCAAAUUGAUGCAGAUAUAGUGGAAGCGGAAUCUGAGUUUACUGAGGCUGAAGUGAGGAAAAGAUACCUGAAGCAUGUCGAGCCUCAGUUGUUGUCCAGAGGCCUCGUUCUCCCCGGGAAGCUGAGUCACAGUACAACAGCCUUUGUGCACCGCAGAACCCAAGAAAUUACUGGCCACAGGCCAAAAUACAUGAGCAUUCUCGAUGUUAUGGGACAUGAGAAAAGAAUGAAGGAGGAUGAAUGGCAUUUCUUCCUGAAGGAUAUGAUCAAGACAAGAGUGUACGUGGUUGAGAAUUGGAGCUCUUCCCUUUGCCGUGUCGUGUCUCUGACGUAUGAUUAUGGCAUCGUUAGUCCCGAUGAGGGUCCAGAUGUGGAAUUCUUCAAGGCGGAAUGUGACGCAGCCUACUGUGAGAAGAAGCAGCAGGCUGAGUUGUCAUUUUUUAUCUUUAAAGGAAAGCAGAUAAUUCAUUGUCAGGUUCAUCAUGAGGUGCCCUGCAGGUCUUCUGUGGUGGCAGAAUGCUAUGCGGCUGCUGCUUGUCUUAUAAAAGCCAAGGAACUUGGAAUAGAGAACCUCGUCAUAUACAUGGACUGCAAAGAUUCCCAUGGCGUUUUAAGUGGUGAGCGGAAUAUUAGACCUGAUGAUGUAAACAUGGGAGUUUUUCUGAUGUUGAAAAAACAUCAAAACGCCCUUGAAAGGGUGGUGCCUGUGUGGAAGGAGCGUGAGCUUAACCAACUCGCGGAUGAUCUUGUAACACUCGACCCGAGAACCACCCUUGAUCCUAUGUUCCCACAGCAAGCGAUGGAGAGAUGGAAGCAUCCCCUGGAGGGUUAUCCAGUGUUCAGAUAUAAGCAAAAAAACGAAGUUGAAACCAUCACCAGAGGAUUUGUCUUCUCAACCAAGAAAACAGUACAAGCACAUAAAAUCCUACAAGAACGGAGCAUUGCAUUGACCAUAUUGUGUAAUUAUUAUAACCAAUAUCUCCAAGAAGCAAAAUAUUUCCUACUUACUCAUUGGGGUUAUAAAAUUUAUAUUGUUGGUAAAUUUGAUUGUUUGGCUGGCUUGCUCGAUGGGUUUGAUCCGGACGACCUGUAUGUGUCUGCCAUGAGUUUGCCAAAAAGCCCAAAGACCUCCAGUUGAAAUUUGAGGAGUUCUUUGAUGGACCGGGACGCGAUGUGGUUGGAGGAAUUACGUUCUUCCACAAGGGCAAGGAGAGUGAUACUAUGAAGAAGGACAAGGGAAGACGUCUCUCAGUUUGUUUUGAUGCCAAGCUCUGGGACGUAUCCUUCCACCACAAUCUGACGGUCGUCCUAUUUGCACCAGGAGAGGCUGAAACACUGGGGAGGCAACACAAUCUACGAAAACUCAGCGCACUGGAUGUCAUGAUGUGUCAUGUGUUGCCACAGCCUUGGGAUUAGAGAAAAGUCUUUGUAAUAUGCUAGCCACUGAAACUUGUUUUGGGAGCCUGUAGCAUGUCGUGCCGUGUGAUGGUCUCGAAGGCUAAGGGGUCUUUGGAUUGUGACUAUGUUUGCCAUAUUAUUUUUGCCACACUUGCCUAAGUAGCCUAACUUGAGUUAGCUUAAAUUGUUAGCCAUACUUUGGCUUGCCUAAUGGAAUCUUGCCAUAUUUUUUCUGUCCAUGAUAUGUGGGG